CACGCCCUAAACGAUGUCAACUGGUUGUUGGGUCUUAACUGACUCAGUAACGAAGCUAACGCGUGAAGUUGACCGCCUGGGGAGUACGGCCGCAAGGUUAAAACUCAAAGGAAUUGACGGGGACCCGCACAAGCGGUGGAUGAUGUGGUUUAAUUCGAUGCAACGCGAAAAACCUUACCCACCUUUGACAUGUACGGAAUCCUUUAGAGAUAGAGGAGUGCUCGAAAGAGAGCCGUAACACAGGUGC
rnacentral:rRNA from 1 species